AAGCAUUUUUAAUGAAGUUUUCGGAUGGAUUUAGAUUUGACUUAGCGGCGGACGGGUGAGUAACGCGUGGGUAACCUGCCUUAUACUGGGGGAUAACAGUUAGAAAUGACUGCUAAUACCGCAUAAGCGCACAGUGCCGCAUGGCACGGUGUGAAAAACUCCGGUGGUGUAAGAUGGACCCGCGUCUGAUUAGGUAGUUGGUAGGGUAACGGCCUACCAAGCCGACGAUCAGUAGCCAACCUGAGAGGGUGACCGGCCACAUUGGGACUGAGACACGGCCCAAACUCC
rnacentral:rRNA from 1 species